GUCUUCGUGGAGCAAGGCCGCUCGUUCCCUCUUUGUGUACAAUCAUCCAAAUCUACAUAUGGGAAAGCUGGUGGUUCGACUCCACCCGAAGACA